UACGAAGGGGGCGAGCGUUGUUCGGAUUUACUGGGCGUAAAGGGCGCGCAGGCGGUCAUUUUUGUCGAGUGUGAAAGCCCCGAGCUUAACUUGGGAAUUGCGCUCGAAACUACGUGGCUGGAGUGUGGCAGAGGAAGGUGGAAUUCCACGUGUAGCGGUGAAAUGCGUAGAGAUGUGGAGGAACACCGAUGGCGAAGGCAGCCUUCUGGGCCAACACUGACGCUCAUGCACGAAAGCGUGGGGAUCAAACAGG
rnacentral:rRNA from 1 species